CAUGUUCUGGGUGAUGGUGGUGGUGCCUUCCGUUGUUCCCGGAGCCAUGGUGGUGGUCAGGAACAGGUUGUUCAGCAGGCGUCCGGAAAUGUCC
rnacentral:tRNA from 1 species